rnacentral:antisense_RNA from 1 species
CUUGAUCGACCCCAGGAGCACCGGCCGCUCCGGAUCCCGGCCCUGACCGUAGGUGGCCAACAGGGCCUGCGCCUC